rnacentral:rRNA from 1 species
AGAGGAAGUAAAAGUCGUAACAAGGUUUCCGUAGGUGAACCUGCGGAAGGAUCAUUAGAGACGGGCCCGCGGCACCGGCGACACCCGCCGGUAUCGCGCGCGCCUCAUCCGACCCCGUGGCCGCGUGCGCCGCGACCCCCGACCGAGCGUCGACCGAAAGAUGGUUACACCGUCGAAAGACCGUCCGCGGCCCCCGGGCCGUGGAAAAAUUUCGACAAAAACAAAGACACCCGACCCCGAACGGCGGAUCACUUGGCUCGUGGAUCGAUGAAGACCGCAGCUAUCUGCGCGUCGUCGUGUAAUCCGCAGGUUAUACGAACAUCGACCAGU